GGUAGUCCACGCCCUAAACGAUGUCAACUAGCUGUCGGGGUCUUCGGGCCUUGGUAGCGCAGCUAACGCGUGAAGUUGACCGCCUGGGGAGUACGGUCGCAAGAUUAAAACUCAAAGGAAUUGACGGGGACCCGCACAAGCGGUGGAUGAUGUGGAUUAAUUCGAUGCAACGCGAAAAACCUUACCUACCCUUGACAUGUCUGGAAUCCCAAAGAGAUUAGGGAGUGCUCGCAAGAGAACCGGAACACAGGUGCUGCAUGGCUGUCGUCAGCUCGUGUCGUGAGAUGUUGGGUUAAGUCCCGCAACGAGCGCAACCCUUGUCAUUAGUUGCUACGAAAGGGCACUCUAAUGAGACUGCCGGUGACAAACCGGAGGAAGGUGGGGAUGACGUCAAGUCCUCAUGGCCCUUAUGGGUAGGGCUUCACACGUCAUACAAUGGUCGGGACAGAGGGUCGCCAACCCGCGAGGGGGAGCCAAUCCCAGAAACCCGAUCGUAGUCCGGAUCGUAGUCUGCAACUCGACUACGUGAAGUCGGAAUCGCUAGUAAUCGCGGAUCAGAAUGUCGCGGUGAAUACGUUCCCGGGUCUUGUACACACCGCCCGUCACACCAUGGGAGUGGGUUCCACCAGAAGUAGUUAGCCUAACCGCAAGGAGGGCGAUUACCACGGUGGGGUUCAUGACUGGGGUGAAGUCGUAACAAGGUAGCCGUAUCGGAAGGUGC
rnacentral:rRNA from 1 species